AAAGAAAAGAUUAUAAAAGGUGUAUUCAGGACUUCGCGCCGGUUAUCCGCGCAGAUCCAGCGCAACAAGGAACGAUGACUGCUACUUUAAAUAAAACAUAAAAGCGACCAAAUUUAUGAAAUCCAUUCACAUUUAUUUGCCAUUAUGAUUGCAACAAGAAAUAAUGGGAUCGCGUGGGUAAACCGCUUCGUCAAGGAAAAACACGUUCAAGAAAGAGUUUUAAGAUAUGAAAAACGUCGAAAUUCAACUCAAGUAAAACAGCAAGAAAACGCUAGUUCGUUUAAAGAGGAAAAUUUUAAAUAAUGAUCACAACUAGUACACGAAUAUUAUUCAAUUAAGAUGUAAACACGUUUGAUGAUUAAUAAAUAAAUAAUUAGCAGUAAAGCGCUCUUAAAAUAACUUCAGGAUAACAUUGAGG
rnacentral:misc_RNA from 1 species